rnacentral:misc_RNA from 1 species
UCCGGUUUAUCACCGGCAGUCUCCACAGAGUCCUCGGCUUUACCCGUUAGUAACACGGGGCAAGGGUUGCGCUCGUUGCGGGACUUAACCCAACAUCUCACGACACGAGCUGACGACAGCCAUGCAGCACCUGUGCUGGUGUUCCGAAGAAGGGCCCCUGUUUCCAGAGGCUUUCACCAGCAUGUCAAACCUAGGUAAGGUUCUUCGCGUUGCUUCGAAUUAAACCACAUACUCCACCGCUUGUGCGGGCCCCCGUCGAUUCCUUUGAGUUUCAGCCUUGCGGCCGUACUCCCCAGGCGGGGCACUUACUGCGUUAGCGACGGCACUCAGAGGGUCGCUCCCCCAAGCACCUAGUGCCCAUCGUUUACGGCGUGGACUAC